GGAAACUGGACGAGUCAUCUUCAAUUUAGCCAGCUUGGAACACAGAGAGAGGGACAAAAAAACAGGAUAAUGAGAAAUCCAACUGAGACAUUACCUGACUGCAGAUGACCUUACUUGCAAUCCUGCUUCGACGCUGAUCUCAAAUAGGUUGCCUUGAGGCUUUCAAAGCAGCGAUGCGGGUCUCAGAUAUUCGGCCUAUUGGACUGAAGCCUGUUCCCUCCCCACCUCACCCCCGUCACCAAAAGAAGCUAACCCAAUUCAUCUGGGGUCCCGUUUGGGGAAAGGGAGUGUUGGAAGGAAAAACCACCUGGUUCAGUUCCAAGCUGGAGAAAGGCACUGGAAAUAAAAUGGAGGCUGAUUGGCUAUUUGUUGUACCUCGGAAGAGGGGUAGU